GACGAGCGCUGGCGGCGUGCCUAAUACAUGCAAGUAGGACGCAGUUGCGAACGGGUGAGUAACGCGUAGGUAACUACCUAUUAGAGGGGGCUAACUAUGGGAAACGAUAACUAAUAACGCAUACUAGUAGAUGGACCUUCUUUGUAUUAGCUAGUAGGUAGGGUAAUGGCCUACCUAGUCAACGAUACAUAGCCGACCUGCGAUGGGGGUCGGCCACACUGGGACUGAGAGACGGCCCAGACUCCUACGGGAGGCAGCAGUAGGGAAUCUUCGGCAAUGGGGGGAAACCUGACCGAGCAACGCCGCGUGAGUGAAGAAGGUUUUCGGAUCGUAAAGCUCUGUUGUUAUGGAAGCGGUACUUAACCAGAAAGGGACGGCUAACUACGUGCCAGCAGCCGCGGUAAUAC
rnacentral:rRNA from 1 species